GGGUGAGUCUGUCAAACCUGAAUGUCUUCUUCUAACAUGCAUUUGCAUUGCAGUCAUUCUGUACUGAUAGUAAAGUUAUCCUUUGCAGUACUGACUCAUUCAAUUUUAAAAUGAUGCCCUUUCAUGCAAAUGAUGCGUUUGUUCUUUAUUUGGAUGGUCAGCCUUAGCGCACGGUCUUCCCUCGUGACAGCCGUAAAAAGAUGACAGCGGCAGACAAAACAGGGCAAUUAUAGUAAGAGAUACUAACCGCGCACUUGCAUUUCUCUAACAGAAGGGGGCAGCCGCAGUCCGCAGCGAUAUCUCAGAGCUAAAGCGUGACGCAGGCGUUUUUGGGCUCUCGCUUCAGCCAGCAGAGCCGGAGCCAAACUAAAUAAAAUGAAAUUAUCCAUCUGUCCAAACGCAAAGGGAGAGAACUCCAUUUGUCAACUGUAAGUCCCGUACGUGUUCCCGUCGCCUGCCUGAGUUAUGAUUCCGCAUUAGAAUUAUCAAAUCCAAAUAAAAAAAAAUGCUCAAGACUCAUGUCAGUCUAGGGUCCCCUGAGAAGUUUGUCCACCCCUGGCCCCAGUAAAGUGUUGACCCUCAAGAAGGAUGAGGUCAUUAAGCCUAGUUCAUAUCCCACUUUUCUGCAUGCGCUUAUGUUCCAUGGACAGUUGUACACACAGAACCUCAUGUUCAUACUACAUUUGUCCGUCGACUCAGAUGGUUGUGGUUGGUGAAUCCAUACAGCACUGAUAUUCCACCAGACCAAGAGAGGGCAGAUGUACUGCAACAAACACAAAUACAAGCAGUGUGGUGAAACAGAGCCACAGAAGUGCUGAGGAGCAGGAAGAGAAGGGAGGCAAGGAAGGAGGGGGCACACAGACACAGCAGAGACAUGGCAACGGGUCAGCGAGUGCCGGCACAUCCCUGCCGGUCAUGUCGGGACAUCUGCCAAGGGGUGUCCCUGCGGUGGGAGUCAGCUGGUACCAUCAUAUUCCUCAGAAGGGGUCACCGAGAGCUUGUGAAGACCAGCGGCAGUGUUCACCACCACUCAAACCACUCAUUUAUAUCAGGCUGCUGUUGGCCACAGUCACUACAUUUAUUAUUAUAUUUAAUAAACACAUUGCAUGUUCUGAUAACCAGAUAGCUAGACUCUACUUGUUAGCUAACUAGCUAAUUUUAACGUUGUAAGUGAUUGUAUCCUCCAAGUGCCUUUUUGAGUGGGGCUCAAGAACCAUUCUAGCCCCUGGUGAAGAUGCAUCGCAAAAGCCUAGCCCGCACCCUACAUCUUCCUCAGUUCCCCAGCACUUCCAACACAGACUGCCUGGAAAAGAACCUUCAAUCCUAGCCUGUCAUAAGAUGACAGAAAGUUGAUCAUAAAAGAGUAAAUCAAAAACGCAUUUGACCUAAGACAAUCUCAGGAAAACAAGUGAGCCUUCCCAAGAUUACACAGGACUCGGAUAUACUGAGGCUGGAUUCACUCCAUACUGGUCAUCAAAUUCCCAUUUCCACAGAUGGGGGGAAUUUAUGUAUUGACAUGAUGACUUCAAAAAAAGCUUUUCCAGGAACCAGAAGACAGUCAGCUUAUCUGGAGUAUCACACCCAUAAGGAGGAGAGACAUGCUGAACACUCAGCCACUUUUUUCCACGAGUAGGGGCUCUACCACAGUGCACCCCAAGGCUGUUCGAUCAUUCUAGGCUACGUCUAACAACCAAACGGUGACAGGUGGCCACUUGGAGUGACGGCUGUCUUUGAGAUGUUACACAGGGAGCGCAUGGCCCGCAAGCAGAGGGGUUGCUGAGGUCAAGGGGUCAACACCCUGGGUUAUGCCACUGUCACUCAACAUGAGAGCCUAGCCGAGGUCUCAUGUCAACAACAGUUAAGCGCUGGUAUAUCUGACAAAAACCACAGUUUCCAAAAAGAAGGAACAAUUUCACUACAUUAGUGUUUCCCAAUCCGGUCCUUGGGAGUCGCAGACAGUGUAUGUUUUUACUGGGACUUGGGAGGGUCUUGCCGUCUGGCAGGGAGCUGGGAGUAGGCUUGCCACCUGUCUCGUAUAAUAGCAGUUUA